AUGCAUGUCCUCUCACCGUCAACCGACUUCUUCUCUCUCAUGCUUGUUGAUGAAGACUUACAAGAGAAUGAAGCAAGAGCAACAGCAGGAAGAAAGGAAGGAAGGAACAGAGGCCUGCAGACGACGCAAAGAAGGACAAGAGAAAAGAAGAGAAGAUG
rnacentral:ribozyme from 1 species